rfam:Octopus bimaculoides Scaffold62204_contig_42, whole genome shotgun sequence.
GGCUGUUUAGGUUAAUGGUAGAGCACUCAGCUGGUACCUGAGGGGCACAGGUUCAAUUCCUGUAGCUGCCU